AAGAAUUCCCCUUUCACUGCAUACAGAUAUUUUCAGCUGUAAUUUCUUUUUUCUCCUGUGUUGAACGUUUCUUCCAUUAUCUGUACCCCUUCACCUAUCCAUUCAAUAUGGGUUCUUCUAGCAAGCAGAUUCACAUCAUCUAAACUUCAGUUCCCCUCCUGAGAUGAGGAGAUGGAAAGCUCAACAUAAGCAGCAUCAGAAGCAGCAGUUUUAAUUCCUUUAUUUCCCUGGAGUAAAUUCAACUUCAGUUUUGAGGACUUUUGUGGUCUGCUUUUAACUGUUCUUCAUAUUGCAGUAUCAAUUGAAUGUUUUGGGAAGGAAAACCCUGGAAGUGAAGUCUGUGGGAAUUUCAAAUAUAAGUGUAUUUAUUUCAGUCACAGACAUGAAAGGCAUUCUUGUUUGGUUGGUUUUUAAUGCAGAACCAGAACAGGAAAAAGAUGAUGCAGUGGUGUCAAAUGCUGUGGUAGUGAUGUGGUUUGACACAUUAGCUAGUGCUGCAGUGUAAUAGCAAUGAAACUCUAAAGCAAAACAGCUGGCACUGACAAUCUGAUGUCCACAUUUACAUGUUUUGGGGAGUUUAAGUUGGUUUAGCUGUAGUCUGGCCCCAUGGGUUGAAUGCCUGUUAGCAGAUAUAUUUCCAGAACAAGAGUUUCCAUUUAAAUGGGAAAAUAAACAAAAUGGGGACAAUGGGGAUAUUUACUUCAGAAGUGCACCUUUGCACCAAAAUAAAAUGCUAAUUCAGACUCACAAUACGUGGCCAGAAGUGUGCCUCUACUUUUAUAACACAGAAGGAGUGAUGUUCAUUUACUCCAAGAAAAAGGGUGUUAUUAGCCACAGUCCAUUUAUCUGCUCAAGUGCAAUGUGCUGGCAAUUGAGGAUGAAUGCUGCAUGUUUAGAACCAUUAACACUUGGAAAGCAUAUAGAAAUGCCCUAAAAAGAAACAUACCCUAUGUUAACUAUACUCUCUGUGCUUUAAUGAUCCACCCACGUCCAAAUGUUGCCUCCCUCUUUUUUAAUCCUUCUUUGGCCGUGUGCCACGUUCACUUGAAAAAAGUAGCUUUUUCCUUUGAAUUACGUGUGGUUGAGAGCCCAUCACUAAAUGCUGAGAACCCUCUAUGCCUGCUGACUCUGGUGAAAACUGAUGGCACUCAAUACUCUGUAAAGAGCACAGUCUCCUGCCUGUUAGCAAAGGAUGUGGAGGGCAAAUGGCUGUGUGGGUGUGAGCACGUCUACAGGGAAAAGAGGAAGCAGCUGUGUGUGAGAAAAAAAGAAUGACCAAGGAAAAGAGUUGUGUGUAUGUGAUAGGGGGAGACUAAUACAGUUAAAAUUGAAGUGAUAAAUCAUACCUGAGAUCUCUCUUGAGACCUGUAAAUAGGAAACUGAAAAGCAUUUCCUUCUAUUUAUUUUAUAAGUGCUAUAAACUUUAUCAGCUUUUAGUAUUGGAGACUCGUGCAAUAUUUAUGGGUGGUUUACUUUAGAAGUUAUUCAGCGGUUAGCGUCAGGAGGCUAAUGAAAAAGAAAAUUGGGAUGGGUAAAGGAAAAAGGGCUUUUCCUACAGCCCCAUAAUAACAAAUGCAUCACAUCUGAGUUGCUUUAGCCCUCUUCCCAAUAUCUUUUGCUCCUGUAUUUCUCUAGCAAAUACCUACCCUGAGCUUCACAGCUCCACAGGGGAUCACAAAGAGCAUCACUUAUUGGUAAAACUGAGGACAAAACUUAUUCAGGAAUUCCUAUGAAGUGAAUCACAGAAGAAGGAGAUUGCACAGUAGGACUUGAAAAAAGGAGAGGGUUUCAGAGGUCUCAAUAGAUUAAAACAUGUGAAAGUCCUUCAAAUGGAACGGAAUCCAUGAUCACCCUCAAGUAGUCUUCAGUUGCAAUAUGGAGGAAGGCUACUGUGGGAACAUCCUCUUACACUGGAUAAGCUGAUGGCAGUAUUUUUGAACUGAUUUUGCUCUAAACAAAAUAAACAAGCUUCUCAUCCCUCAAAGAACUUCACACCAAUACAUUCCAAAUGUCUGUUUCUCAAUGUCUGGAAACAUUAUUCAAUUUCCCACACUUAUGCAGUUUCAUAAAUGGCUUAUUUAUGCUGUGCUCUUUCAAAUGGAGACAACAGCUGUUUUCAAAGUUUAGGGUUUCAAAAAAAAGAAAAGAAAUCUCUUCAAAUUUAUAUCUGAAUGAAAGAGUUUUCCAGAACUUACUGCUGUGUAGAAUCUCCUCCAAGAAAAAGUUGCAGAUUGUUCACAUAAGGAAAUGGGAACAUAAGAGAUUGCUGGGCUUAGUUAUAUGACGGAAUUCCCCCAAAAAAGCUGUGAACACAAGCCUAAAUUAAACAGCUCCAGAGAGCAUAUCUUAUGGGUAAGAGAGGAGGCUCUGUCCCAGCUGGGAAAAGCACUGGCACCAAAAAUGGCAUGAGCAAAGCACAGGGGCUCUCUGUUGCUCAGUUGUUUCUGUACACAGCCAUGGGGUGAAAAAUGGACUCAGAAGAGAACAUGACAGAGGGCAGCUCACACAUCUCAAACAUGAGACUAAUGUAUCGAUAGCUCAGUCUCCUCACCUUAUCAAGGAGGGAACCAAGAGAUGACUAACUUAUUUAUAAACACCUCAAGAGAAUCGUCCAUUGCUUAUGAGGUCUUUAGUAUAGCAGAGAAAAACAAACCAACAAAUCCUAACAUUAAGCUAGACACAGACAAAUUCACACAAGAAAUAGGUUCUUUUUCUUUUUUUAACAAAUCUAAGAAUGGAGUACAAAAGUAGGCUGACUUUGGCACAUUUUUGAAAUCCUCAAAUCAAGAUCAGAUGCCUUACUGGAUGAUGCAUUAUUUUAAGCACACACAAGUUAUUGGACUCAUUACUGAAACAGCUGGAUAAAUGUCUCUGACAUGCAUCACAUUAGAUGAUAGUAUGUUAUUCCCUUCUGUCCCUUAAACUGUAAGUUUGUGAGUGAAGAAGUUACUUAAUCCUGUAAAUGUAAAAUAUGGCCUUUAUUGUUUGACUGCAAAGACAUGUUAAAAAAUGAAACAAACAAAAACAAACAAAACAAAAACCCCCAACCAAACACAAAACCAAGUGAUCUUUAUAUAAAGUGAUGUUGUAAGGAAUAUGGUAUUUUACCUAUGGCCUGACUGUAUAGUAUGAGUAACAUUUUGGCCAAUGGGAAGUAUGCCUUGAACUUCAAAAGGAUGAGGUUUAAAAUGCCUCUGCCAGCAAAUGUCCAUUGUUGUCCCAGAUCUGAGAAAUUUCCAACUAUUCUUCAAGUAAAUUGAGCCGUGCACUGCCUGCUUGUCUCCUAGGGUCAGAUGGACUAAGAGCAAGUUUUGUGGAAAUCCUUCAGAGAGCCCAGGAACAAACAUUCAAGGAUGGUCUUUCUGUAACCUUGUUUAAUUUUACCAUCUCACAGGUUUCUGCUGCUAUUGACCCUAGAAAAGACUUUGACUGCAUUAUUUUUAAAAAACCAUUUUACAGAUUAAUUUUUAUUUACUUGGAUAUGAUUUAUCAAAAGAGCUGAGAGAAAAAAUUCUGUAGAGUAAAUAAACAAUACGUCUCUCCUAGGAUUUUAUGUCUAGACCAGACAAUAGGUUAUGAAAUAAUAAAAGAGAGAAAGAGGAGGAAAAGAAGGAGUUGUCAAAGGGGAUAGAGGCAGUGUUAUACCUAGAAAAAGCUAAAAGAAAAAUAAUGAUGACCUGUGGUUCACCUGUUAUAAGACAAAGGUUCAGAGAAGGGAAAAUGCCUGAGUUACUGGGAAAAAAAUAUUAAAUUAUUCUCCUUUUUACUGGCCUAAGGUAAAUGUGAGUGAAUAUGCUACUCUUCAAGCCAGAUUCAGCAUAGUGAUGAGGAACAGUCCUUUCCAGCAAACAGUUUUAGCCACAACAUAAAAAAUUAUCUGCUAGAAGAUUAAAUCAAUAAAGGGCAGUUUUCAUAAGUGUAGUAUAUUCAUGUCAUUUACUGAAACAAGAUGAAGCAAAUCUCUUGCAUAUUAUGCCUUUUAAUUGACAGGAAAGGUCUCACCUUUGAUGCAGGGAGUGAUAUUGUUUAACUUAAGAGUUGUGUUUUACUUUUCAUCAAUGACUUGGUUGAAGGAGCAGAUGCCUCCUCAGCAAAUGCAGUGACAACACAAAGCUGGGAGCACUGGCUGAUAUCCCUAGGGGCUUCACAGCCCUUCAGAAGGACCUUGACAUGGUGGAGAGAUGAGCAGAGAGGAACCUCCUGAAAUUCAGCAAAUGCACGGUCCUGCACGUGUGGGAGAAAAACCCCCUGCACCAGCACAGGCUGAGGGCUGAGCUGCUGGAAAGAGCUCUGUGGAGAAGGACCUGGGAGUCCUAGUGAACAACAAGCUGUGAGCCAGCAGUGCCCUGUGGGACAAGAAGCCCAAUGGGAUCCUGGGCUGCAUCAGGGAGAGAGUUGCCAGCAGGUCGAGGGAGGUGAUCCUGCCGCUCUGCUCAGCCCUGGUGAGGCACAUCUGCAGUGCUGUGUCCAGUUCUGGGCUCCUCAGGACAGGAGGGAUAUGGAGUUCCUGGAGCCAGUGCAGCACAGAAUGCAAAGAUGAUUAAGGGACUGGAGCAGCCCUCUUAGGAAAGGCUGAGGGAGCUGGGCCUGUUCAGCCUCUAGAAGAGAUGACAGAGGGGACCUCGCCAAUGUCUGUCAGUAUCUGAAGGGAGGGUGUCAGGGGGAUGGAGCCAGGCUCUGCUCAAUGGUGCUGAGCUGUGGGAAUCCAGAGCUUCCCUCUGGCUGCUCUGGAAGGUCUGGGACCCUGGCAGGGGGUCAGGAACCCCCCUGUACAGAGCCCCCAGAGACACUGUCUCUGAUCUCUGUCCAUGGAAAAGAGUUUUCAAUCUUACAGGAUGAAUUACAAGCUCUGAGUGUUUGAUAUAAGUAAUAAUUAAGUGUGGCACGGGUGCAAAAGUCAAAUUUUAGGAUUCUAGAUUAGGGGUUCAAAGAGGACAAGAUGGAGGAAAUUGGGUGUGUCUUGUCCUUUUUCUCCUUCUUCAUGCCCUCCAUGUUUCACUGUAGUGUUGGCAUUUUUCUGUUGGUUUAGGCUGGGGACACACUGUUCAACGUAGGUUACAGAUUAUUGGCACAUUAUUGUAAAUACAGCACACGUAGUUUCUGGUAUAUAAUGUUUGUAACAUCCCACUGAGGGCAGAGCCCCACACGCUGCCCUGCAGGACAGAGCUGCGGCAGGGCAGCAGAACAUGUUAGAGAUAAGCAAGAAUAAACAACCCUGAAAACCAGCACAGACGAAUUAUGGCUUCUUCUUUGGCAACGGGGCAGAAAGACAGAGACUUUCUACAAUCUCGGAAUCAUCAAUACCACAGAUUCUGACACUGAACAAUGGGACAAGAGACAACAGGUAGACACUGUUGCUCAGAAAUUACGCCUGAACAUGAGGAACAGCUUCUUUACUGUGCAGGUGACCGAGCACUGGAACAGAUUGCCCAGAGAUGCUGUUGUGUCUCCCUCACUGGAGAUAUUCCAGACCAUCUGGACACACUCCUGUGCCAUGUGCUCUGGGAUGACCCUGCUUAAGUUGUGAGGUUGGAGCAGAUGACCCACUGUGGUUCCCUGCAAUCCACCCGGUUCUGUGAUUCUGUGAUGUGAAGGAGUAAAGAUUUUUUUAUUUCAGUUCCCAUGCGAUGUAGUAAGACCUGUGCACCUCCAGACUCAGGAGCUGUUCUUCCUGUUUGUUUUCAUACUCAAAAAUAAACCAUCAGAAGAAAACAUACAGGAGUUGUACUUUGUCUAGAUGCCAACACCAUACCAGAGAAGUCCAGCUGGCAGUCUGAAGACCAGAACCAGCCUUCCUUCCAGCCCACUGUGUAUCCUCUGAGGAGGUAGGAAACAGUUGCCUGGGAAGCACAGUUGGACCUAAAAAUCAAACAUCUCCCCCAAUGACUGUGAAAAAAUUCAUGGUUAGAGCUGCACAUGCAAGAGGGGAUGGUACUGGCAUCAAGCCUUCUUCUUUGUUCAUAGACUUCUACCAGCAACCUAGGAGUUCCUCUGAGAGACCAUGGAAGAUUUCUGUGAUCUCACCCUACCAGCUGUGGAAGUAGGUGGUCAGUUCUGCUGAGGGGUUUUAUAAUGUUGAGGAAAACCUUGAAGUAUGAGCUAAGAUCCUCCCUCCCCAACCAAAAAAAAAUAAAAA
ensembl:lncRNA